rnacentral:ncRNA from 1 species
CAUUCUAUAUAUUCUUUGAAUCUAUAUUACCUCCUGCUUGAAUAUUUGGGAAAUAUUCAUCGUCGUGGGAUAAACUGCCAAACUCCGGGGACCCCCUAAAGCUUAAGGUACCAAGCUAUAGUUGAAAAACUAUAAGUGGCUGAAGUAAUUACUCAGGUAUGGUAACAAGCCUUAAGAUUUGUGAAAACAAAAUGGGUAAUCGCGGAUCUAAGUCAGUAGUAAAUAAAAAUACUACUGUAAAAGAGCAACGAGUAUACGGCAGUUACAUUGGAACUUUACUAAGUUCACCAAUGUUAAGAUAUACUCUACUGGGUUUUGAAAAAAACUA